CGUGUAGGCGGCUUUGCAAGUCGGGUGUGAAAGCCCUCAGCUCAACUGAGGAAGUGCGCCCGAAACUGCAGAGCUUGAGUACCGGAGAGGAUGGCGGAAUUCCCCAAGUAGAGGUGAAAUUCGUAGAUAUGGGGAGGAACACCGGUGGCGAAGGCGGCCAUCUGGACGGAUACUGACGCUGAGACGCGAAAGCGUGGGUAGCAAACAGGAUUAGAUACCCUGGUAGUCCACGCCGUAAACGAUGAGAACUAGGUGUCGUGGGUGUUGACCCCCGCGGUGCCGUAGCUAACGCAUUAAGUUCUCCGCCUGGGAAGUACGGCCGCAAGGCUAAA
rnacentral:rRNA from 1 species